GCAGCCGCGGUAAUACGUAGGGAGCAAGCGUUGUCCGGAUUUACUGGGUGUAAAGGGUGCGUAGGCGGCUUUGCAAGUCAGAUGUGAAAUGUACGGGCUUAACCCGUAAGCUGCAUUUGAAACUGCAGAGCUUGAGUGAAGUAGAGGCAGGCGGAAUUCCCUGUGUAGCGGUGAAAUGCGUAGAGAUAGGGAGGAACACCAGUGGCGAAGGCGGCCUGCUGGGCUUUAACUGACGCUGAGGCACGAAAGCGUGGGUAGCAAACAGGAUUAGAUACCCC
rnacentral:rRNA from 1 species